AGAAGACAAAUCUGGAUGGUGGUCUGACUGCUUACUGGUGCAGCAGGGAUUGCAGAGAGUGGUGAAAUGUGUUUCUGAUUCACAGCUGAUGGUUUAUAGGACCAUAGUGCUCCUCUACCCCAUGACUUCCACCUCUUCCCCGCUGCCCGCAAUCCACUGGCACUCUCCGUAGCAGGAAGGAGAAAUAAGUGGCUUGACAGCUUUGACGCGUGUUGCCGUAAGGCUGCCGAGCUCUCUGGGUGUCUAACCUUCCCUUCUUGUCAUCAGCUAUUAAAACUACUAAAACAGAAGAAUGCUUAACCACUCCAGCUGUUAAAACAUUAGUACAUGCUUUGUCUCAUGAGGCCAACACAGUACUUCAAAACCAAACACUUAGGAAUUUCUUCUCAACCAUCGUUGCUGCAGCCCCAGGGAAAAUCAAGACAGAUGUGAGUGGUCAUGGAAGCUCACAGAUCAUAAAUUUGACCCUGCACUGGAUGGAUCAGCUAACCCUACCCAGAUGGGUAACCUGGCUCAACCAGUUCUGCCAUCCCACCCAGGAACAGAAGACAGCAAGAAAACUUCACUUUGACCCCUUAUGAUUCCAUCUCCAACCUGAUCAAUCAGCACUUCCCACUUCCCAAGCCCCUACCUGCCAAAUUAUCUUUAAAAACUUAAAUCACUGAAUGCUCAGAAAGACUGAUUUCAGUAAUAAUAAAACUCCGGUCUCCUGCACAGGUGGCUCUGCGUGAAUUGCUCUUUCUCCACUGCAAUUCCCCUGUCUUGAUAAAUUGGCUCUGUUUAGGCAGCGGGCAAAGUGAAUCCAUUGGGCAGUUAUAUAUGUAUGUUUAUAUUGUGAGGGGUAAGGCUGUUGGGCCCCUGGAGGUUUGCUGAAAAUCACUUACAUGAGAGAUUGAUUAAUAGGGGAAAAAGCAUACAAAUUUAUUUAAUGUGUAUACAUGGGAGGCUUCUGAAUGAAGAACCAAUCUGUUAAUGGGGUACGAAAGCUCAUAUACUACUUUGAGGUUACAGAAAAAAUUCGGGCUUAGAGCAUCGCCAAAACCAGGUUAUAGUGGCAAGACAGGUAAUGGGAGGGAGAAAGGAUGGGUAUUGGCUAGCGAAGGUGGUCUUGUUAGGUAGAUGAAGCCUCAUAGGCAAUAGCCCUCAGAGAGAAUAAAUGGUAAAUGCUUCUUUUCAGACAUUUAAAGGGGUCAGACUCUGUUAAGCUCUCCUAGAUCUUGGAAAGGCCUAGAAAGGGAAGGCCUGGCUGCAAUAAUGGAAAUUCUAUGCAGAUGCAAAUUUAUCCUACAAAAGAUAGCUUUGCAGGCUCACUUCAUUCUGCUGACUCUGUGGCAGGCAUUUCAAAAUAUGUCACAUACAUUUAUUUUGCAGUAAGAUUAUCUGUCUAUCUAUCUAUCUAUCUAAUCUAUCUACCACAAAGUUUAAAAAAAUUGGAGACUUAGAAAUAUAUUGGGUAUUUCUCAUCCUUCUCCUAUGGUACUACAUUAUGCCAUGUUUUCUAUGUCUAGAAUAUCAUUUAAUGCCUUAUUUUAGAAAGCAUUGUCUGAGUAUAUAUUAUAAAUAUAAAUAGAAUGUAAGAUUUUGAGUACAUGAUAUCAUGUGCAUUUACUAAUAUUCCACAUACCUGUGUGAUAUCAGCAC
rnacentral:lncRNA from 1 species